GACGAACGCUGGCGGCGUGCUUAACACAUGCAAGUCACGGGGGCUGGGCGAACCAGCAACCGGCGAACGGGUGCGUAACACGUGAACAACCUGCCCUCGUGUGGGGGAGUAGCCGGGCUAACGACCCGGGUAACUACCGCAUACGGUCAUCGGGAGGAGUCUCCUGGUGAAGAAAGCUCCGGCGCGACGGGGAGGGGUUCGCGGCCUAUCAGCUAGUUGGUGCGGUAACGGCGCACCAAGGCGACGACGGGUAGCUGGUCUGAGAGGAUGGCCAGCCACAUUGGGACUGAGAGACGACCCAGACUCCUACGGGAGGCAGCAGUGGGAAUCUUGCGCAAUGGCCGAAAGGCUGACGCAGCGACGCCGCGUGUGGGAGGACGCCUUUCGGGU
rnacentral:rRNA from 1 species